AAGUCGUAACAAGGUUUCCGUAGGUGAACCUGCGGAAGGAUCAUUAACACGUUGCAAACGUUUUAAUAAUCAACUUUCAACUCCGCGCACGUUGUUAAAAUUUUACACGGAUCUUUGGUUCGAACCGAGGAAACACCCUGCGUUGGCUUGCUUUGUGAUGGGUGAGUCAUCAGGGUUGACGAAAAGGACUUGGUUCUGGAUCUAUUAUGGUCCGUCAUCAUAUUUUGUUUUUUUAAACCCCUUGAAUCUUAUCAGUCUGAAACUUUUUUUUUUUUUUUCAAUUUCCUCUUUGGGGAAAAAGAAGAAAAGAAGAAAAAAAACGAAACAAAGAACAACUCUUAGCAACGGAUAUCUUGGUUCUC
rnacentral:misc_RNA from 1 species